CAUACCAUUUGCAAAAGUAGACAACCCAAGGUAUUGCAAGUGGGGUAUGUCCAGUCUUUCUUAGUAGCCACUUAGUAGUCACAAACACUGGCCAAAUAUUAGUUUUUUGCUUUUUUUCACACAAAAACAAAUAUGAAAGCUAACUGUGGCCAGUGUUUGUGACUAAGUGGCUAGUAAAAAAGACUAAACAUACCACUUGCAAUAUCUUGGGUUGCCUACUUUUUCAAAUGGUAUG